rnacentral:rRNA from 1 species
UACGUAGGGUGCAAGCGUUGUCCGGAAUUAUUGGGCGUAAAGAGCUCGUAGGCGGUCUGUCGCGUCUGCUGUGAAAACUCAGGGCUUAACCCUGAGCUUGCAGUGGGUACGGGCAGACUAGAGUGCGGUAGGGGAGACUGGAAUUCCUGGUGUAGCGGUGAAAGUGCGCAGAUAUCAGGAGGAACACCGGUGGGCGAAGGCGGGGUCUCUGGGCCGU